UGGCGGACGGGUGAGUAACGCGUAGGCAAUCUGCCUUCUAGAUGGGGACAACAUCCCGAAAGGGGUGCUAAUACCGAAUGUUGUAUGAUCUUCGCAUGGAGAUGAUACUAAAGGUGGCCUCUGAAUAUGCUACCGCUAGAAGAUGAGCCUGCGUCUGAUUAGCUAGUUGGAGGGGUAACGGCCCACCAAGGCAACGAUCAGUAGCCGGUCUGAGAGGAUGAACGGCCACACUGGGACUGAGACACGGCCCAGACUCCUACGGGAGGCAGCAGUGGGGAAUCUUCCGCAAUGGACGAAAGUCUGACGGAGCAACGCCGCGUGAGUGAAGAAGGUUUUCGGAUCGUAAAGCUCUUUCGUUAGGGACGAACGUGCUCUUUGUGAAUAAUGAGGAGUAAUGACGGUACCUAAAUAAGAAGCCACGGCUAACUACGUGCCAGCAGCCGCGGUAAU
rnacentral:rRNA from 1 species